GGGCCCGCACAAGCGGUGGAGCAUGUGGCUUAAUUCGAUGCAACGCGAAGAACCUUACCUGGGCUCGAACGCUAUCUGACAGACCCUGAAAGGGGUCCUUCUUCGGACGGAUAGUGAGGUGCUGCAUGGCUGUCGUCAGCUCGUGUCGUGAGAUGUUGGUUAAGUCCCGCAACGAGCGCAACCCCUAUUACUAGUUACCAGCACGUUAUGGUGGGGACUCUAGUGAGACUGCCUGCGCAAGCAGUGAGGAAGGUGGGGACGACGUCAAGUCAUCAUGGCCCUUAUGCCCAGGGCUGCACACGUGCUACAAUGGUCGGUACAAUGGGCUGCCACCUCGCGAGAGGGAGCU
rnacentral:rRNA from 1 species